AAACCUGACUAUAAAAUCUGGCACAUGGGCCGCCUGCUGGUCCUUUCUGUUCGGAGACCCCUCUCUCUAUAUAUAGAGAGAGCUGUUUCUCUUUCUCUUCUCUUCUGCCUAUUAAACCUCUGCUCCUAAACAAAACAAAACAAAACAAAAACAAACAAAAAAAGAAACACUAUAGAUAGGUGGGAGGAACUCUUCAACUGGCUCAAACUCCAAUGCCCUAAGCUGGGGAGCAUCCCCCUCCACCACCACCACCACGUGUGGAUACCCCCUUAUCCUGUUUGAGCUUUGAUGUUUGAUGCCCGCACAAGGUCACUUUAGGAGGAUUCUCUCUAAGUACUCCUUGGUCUCUGAUACCCCAUACCUGACUAUCUCCACUGGACAAAAUAGGUUCUUGAGUCAAGCACUAAGUAAGGAAUAUGAAGAUUUCAUAAUUUGUGUGCAGUUUCAGAUAAAUUCUUUCCAAAGUUAGGAGAAGUAAGAAUAAAAUAUGUAACUGGAAUCAGUUGCUACCUAAAGAUGUCUUUUUUUAAACCUCACCAUGGUACCUGGGGUUAGAAGCAAUGCUUUGUUUACUCUUUUUAAAAAGCAACAGAAUGGGAAUAUUGUAGUAAAUCUCUGGGGGAAUUCCUGUCUUCACACCAAAAAUAGUUGUUAUUCUCUUAGUUGGUUUGGUUUUAUCUCAUGGACAUUUUGAAGUAUAUAUUUUUUC
rnacentral:lncRNA from 10 species